UUUGGGUCCAUCAUGGGUGGAACUGGAUCCUGUGGAAGAGGGAUUGGAUUGUGCUGGAGAGGGAUCGGAUGGCCCUGUGGUGGUAUUGGAUGAUAUGUUGGAGGCACCAGAUUAUACUGUAAUGGUGCCGGUGAUAUUGUGGAGGAGCAAAAUUGUACCAGGGUUGCUCAGAUCCUUCUACUACAGGGGUGACUCAAACUAUAGCAGCGGGAGAGGGUUAGGUAGCUCCCUCAUUCCUCCCAAGUCUGC
rnacentral:lncRNA from 1 species